CACAUGACCCGAGGGAGAGGAGUACCUUGGGUCAGAGCUCGCAGCCGCAGCAGCGAUAUCUGCUGCUCGCGCUCGUCCAGCACCUGCCGCAGCACCAGCUGGUACUCACGCUCCUUCUCCAGCAGCUGCUGCAGCAGCCUGGUGACAUCACAGCCACACUCAGCCUCAGUGACGGGUCACGGGUGAAAGGUCACGGACCGGCUCACCUGUUGGUCUCCAGCUUCAUGCGGCUGAGCUCCAGACUCACAGCGUGCGGCUCGGCGUGCGAUGCGUGGGACACGGUGGAGCUGAGCGUGCUGACCCCCGACGUGGCCACCGUGUCGUCGUGAGAGGCCGCCGCGGGCGCUCGGCUCUGGCGGGCCGCGGUCCUCGCUGCGUCCUCGUCCUCCUGGUCGGCCGCGUCGCUCUCCGACGCCAGGCUGAAGUGAGGACGCAGUUCUGGACACGGGAGCGGGCGUGAAGCUGCUGCCUUCAGGGACGGUGGGAGAGCUCGGCGUUACCUGGCACCAGGAUGGUGAUGGCCGUCUGCACGGCUUUACGGAUGAUGUUGUCCAGAGCAAACAUCCAGUGAGGUUUGAUGUUGUGGUUCCUCAGCACCUUGUUGAUCUGCAUCAGAAAAAGGAAGAAAAAAGCUAAAAAUCGAUCGGUGUUCUGAUUCCGGCCACCAGAGGUCAGCAGAGCGCCAUCUCAACCCGAAUCUUCUUUGGAAGCAGCAAAACGACUUAACUAAGAUCAGAAACGACUUCCACUAGACACAGAGCCGCGUUUCAGCUGAAGACUCACCGCAUCCUGGAGGCCGAAGAGCGCCACCUGCAGCUGGCUGAUGGCCGUGCUGUCGAAGUCCAGCUCCAGCUUCAGCUGCGACAGCGUGCUGGCGAUGAUCUUCCGGUCGGCCAUCCGGACGAAGUCGGCCAGACUGACCACCAGCGUGGAGAUGUGCUGCGGCUUCAGCCGCGUCUCCUCGCAGCCCUGGGGAGGCGGAGCAUCAGCGAGCCUGCCGUGACCGUGCCCCUCGCCGCGACUCACCUGCGACAGCGCCUCCAUCAGGUUGGUCACCACUUUGUCCCGGUCCUCCGUCAGGAUGUGGUGCAGCGUCGCACGCCGCUCGCUGUCUUUGCGGAGCAUGAAGAAGCCGGAGUCCUUCUCAUCUGGAGACGGAGGAGCACUGUGGUCCUCGAAGUUCUCCACCGGGAUGCUGCCGACAGAGGGGGGCCAUGAAGCGCCGCGCUACGCAGCCAGGAAGUGGGCGGCUCCCACCUGAGGAAGAGCGAGCGCGGCCCCGGCCCCUUGACGUCUCUCUCGCUGUAGCACUUGACGCUGGGCUUGAAGUUGAAGGGGUUCGUGUUGAGCUCGUUGUCCGGGGAGACGGAGCCGUACUCGCUGCUGCUGCUGGUGGUGUCCUCCACCACCACCGGCACCGGCAGGGAGAUGCUGCGCAGGUACUCUGGGGAGAGAGCGCCGUCAGCUGAGCGCCGUGCGGGAAGUGACACCUUCUCACCUGAGCCCGGAGUCAGACCUGCGGAGCAGAGACACCAGAGCCUGAGUCAGCCGUCUCUCAACCACCUGCUGCUGACGUGCAUCAGCUCAAGCUUCUCCUGCCAAACAACUGAAUCCACCCACAGUUCCGGGUCACACCCUGGACUGAACCUGAGACCAAAGCCUCCACACUUGGUCCUCACACGUUUUGACCCUGAGUGACCUUGAACUGCGGGCAUUGCAGCUGGUUUAAACGGCUUCCUCAAAACACAGCCGCUACUCUCUGAAUCCUGAUCCCCAAACGUGGAUCCAACCCUCACAUUAAACUCGCUUCGGGUCCGUGAGGUCGGCCAUCCUGGCCCGACUCACCCAUGUAGCUUUUGCUCUUCUUCUUGCGGCUGGUGACAGUGAGGAACUCGUCCGUCAGCAGGUCGAAGGCCGUGGCCCGGCGGUCCGGGUCGGGCUCGAAGCAGCGCAGGAUGAAGGCCUUGGCCUCCGGGGACAUGGACUCCGGGAUCUCCGGGUGGAUCUUGAACAUCCCGACCUGCGGGGGUUCCAUUUUGUCGUGUCACAAUUACAGUUCCGGAAACUCCGGUGCAGAGACAAGGCCUCGGAUCAGUAGGCAGACAUCGCCCCCUCCCUGCCAAACCCUGCGUCUACAGCAACCUCUGACCUUGAACAUGGCGGCCUGCGGCUCGCCCAGCUCGUAGAACGGCGGCCUCCCGGUAGCCAUCUCGAUGAUGGUGCAGCCCAGGGACCAGAUGUCGGCCGGCUUGCCGUAACCCCGAGGGCCUUUGUCGAUGAUCUCUGGAGCCAUGUACUGGAGCGUGCCUGCAGACAGGGAGCGGUGUCAGGAGUCAGGUCAAGAGGAGUGAAAAAGCUUCUGUGGGUCAUGAAUAUUGACAAGAAAUCAAUGAUUAACCUGCGAGUGAAUCAGAGAAAAAGAGGAUAUCAAAAGUGAAUCUGAAGAAACUGUGGAAGAGCAAAUGCAAUGCAGAGAAUAUCAACCCAGCAUCAAAAGUGAAACAAGUAUGGAAGUCGUACGAGGAAAAACUUCCUCCGGCUCCUGCUCGUCUCCCUUCCCAGGCGACUCGACAACAUUCCGACUCUCAUUCCUCUGCGAGGACGGCUCGGUCAGCUGACGUGACUCACGGCUCGUCUCUGUUCCCAAAAUAACCUGUUUGUUCUAAGAACAGCAGCCGGGAGCUGAGACCGGCGCGGCGAGUGGUACCGCUCCAGUCGUGGCCAGGCCGGCUGUGAUUGGCUGCUGCGCUGGUGACCUCACACCUGAGGUAUGCAUGGCCUGCCACAACAUUAUGACCGACUCCCGACGCAGGAACAGCUGGACAUGGACUCAUGUGUCCCCUGACGUGACAGUAACAAGCGACUCAGGUAAUAACACGGUAAUAAGCUUUGAAUAACCCGGCGCGGUGGAGCACCUGUGAAGGUCUCGGUGCAGGGGUUAAUUCCCGCCAGCCUCUUGGACGUGCCGAAGUCGGAGAUCUUCAGGACGCCGCUGUAGGUGUUGAUGAGCACGUUGUCACCCUGAGGAGCGAGUCAGAGUCAGCCGGGACUCGGCAGGAGUCAGAGCGGCCGCCUCACCUUAAUGUCUCGGUGAGCGAUCUGGUUGUCGUGCAGGUACUUGAGCCCCUCGAGGAUCUGCCGGGUGUAGAAGCCGAUGGUGGGCUCGUUCUUCUUCAGCGGGCCCCACUUGGAGCGCAGCAGCGCCGACAGACUGCCUGCACACGGACACGGCAUGGACGUGACGCCGCCACUGACCCAGGAGCCGCGUUCAGGCGGGGCUCACCUCCAGGCACCUGCUCCAUGAAGAUCUUGAUGAAGCCGUUCUCGCUGAUGGAGCCCAGUGAAGCCACCUGAAUAUUGAGGGUCCUGAUCAUGUGACAGACAUCAAUGGAUCACCUUGUCGUCGGGAGCAACAUGCCAGAUGGAGACGGUGUUGUCGUCCACGUCCUUGUUGAUGGACAGCAGCUGGAUGAAGCGCUCCAGCAGCGGCAGGCAGAGCGGGCCCAGCAGCACCUCCAGGCUGGGCUGCAUCAGCUGGGUCAGGCCCUUCAUCAGGCUGCCGUCGCAGCAGUACACCUUGCUGUGCGGCGUCACCAUGUAGGGGAUGAAGGUGUAGUUGGCCGAGCAGCUCUGAGGACACAGCAGGGGGUCACAAUGUUGCAUGUGCUGGGACCAUGGCGACAGCCCCUCACUGCACUGACAACAGGGAGGAGCUGGAGUCUCAGAUCAGGAAGUGACUUGACUCUGCUCCACUUCCUGCUGCCCAGCGAUGACAUCAUCGGCAUUUGAAUAGCAACCGUCACUUGGCAGUUCCAGGUGACCUGGCGCUAUGGACUCACCUGCAGCGACUGGAUGGAGUCAGAGUUGGUGUCGCAGUACAGGAUGAUGUUGUUGGCCAUGCAGAAGCUCUCUCGCACCCCCAGGUGGUAGAAGAGGGACGGCUGGCGGAAGGCGUCGGUCAUCUCCACCACCGCGAUGUCUGCGGGUCACAGAGGCGGGUCACACCCCGCAGCUCCAGAGAGCUGCGACAUCUAGCGACGAGAAGACGAAAAUACAAGAUCGAUGGACAACUUCUGCCUCUGCUCCCGUGACUGUCACCACAGCUUGUUCACUGGUUCGAGGAGUCAUGUGACCUUUUCUUCUGGUCACUGCCAUCAUCUUCUUUAACCACUGAGAGUACUUCACCUACUAUUGUACUAUUGCAGCUACCCCCUUUUCUCUUUCCCCUACUGCAUCUGUGACUCACAGUAAUACAGCGGCAUGACUGCUAUUACUUCCACUGCAUCUUACCUGAUCUACACUUCCGCAACUAUCACCGCCCUCUACACACCUCUCCUACCACUCUUGAUACUGCUACUCUUACAACUACUGUUUUCAUUGCUUGUAACAAGUAGUACUACUAUUUGAGUAAUGCUAACCGUUGAUGCUGAAACUUGGUGAUUGCAGAUACUCGAGGAAGUACUACUACAGCUUCUACUUCCACGUUUCAAAUAAUACUUUUCUUAUUACUCCUUCUACUCAACUCUUUUGAGGUUGUGUUUAUAGAGCUGUUGGAUGUAUAACUGCAGAAACUUGCUAUACUCAUUGUCAUGCCUCUAACGUAAACUACCACUGAUUCCACCUGUACUGAGGGCCUUCCGGGAUGACGUCAUCCACCGUGGUUCUCUGGAGAAGAUGGUGAAUUUCUGUCAAAGCCUUUCAGCUGAUCAGAAGCUUCCCUGAUCGCACAUUGAAUUCAUUGGUUUCGCUUCUCAUGUGACGCAUGUCGAUCCGUCUUUCCGCCACUAGAUGUCGCACUGUAACCCUUUAUCCGUCCGGACUCUCCGUAAGAUAAUUCAAUUAGAGCAACUGAGUGCACGCGACUCUCCAGCGCAGCGACGCGCGCGGCACUCGGUGCUUCAGUCAGUCAACGUUCAUCACACUCGAUUCCAAAGUGUCGACGGGAAAAUACGAUUUGACACUUGCGUGAAAGCGAUUGACGUGAAAUGCAUUUAUUCACGCUGCAGUUCUGUGAAUUAAAAAUAACAAUACAAUGAAAAAUACGGUCUUUAAUUGCGAGCGAUUAAACACGUGCUUUUAUACCGUGAAUCUUAGUCAGGAAUAUUGAUUCCCUUUUGAAUGUAUUUCCUGUUCAAACCCUCCGAUUUUAUUGUUUAAAAAAAACAUCGAAUGCGAGGUAGCGUGAAAAACAAACAAUCUUUGAUAUUUAAGAUGUAAAGAUGACUCAUAUUUGAAUGUUCAUCAAAAGUGGCGAGUAAAAUUAAAGACAAAUUAUGGAUGUGAUAGGAGCGAGUUGUGGGCCCACACUGUGCACCGUCUGAAGACCACAGUACCACUGUCCACACUGGAGCGUCCCACUUGCGACCGAAGAGGCGAACGGUCGUUCCCUGUCGACUGUGGUCCAAGGUGGUGUCGGAGAUUUUCUCUCUCAGAAGACCUGCUGUGAGUUUGGCUGGCAGCCACGCUGCUUCCUGGCCUGCAGUGGUCAGUGCCCUGGCAGCUUGAGGGGAAUUUCUUCUUUUCAUUUUGCUCCUCCUUCUGUGUGUUCUGAAUGCUGUGUAAUGCUUUUAGUCUAGUUGUCAGCUGUUGGUUGCGUUCCUCAUACUUGGCUUGAGGUUGUCAGCUUGAAGUGUGACCUCUCUCUGUUAUUGCUUCCUCCCUGGCUUCAUGGCUCCAUGCUUCCAGUCUUGUCUUUUGCCACGUGUUUUCCAUGACCCCGUGUUUGUGUUGUUGUUGUACUUCACUGUGUGUUUCCAUGUGUUGUUGCGGGGUCCAUUCUCGUGGUGUUUUUCCUCCUGCAUGUUUUUACGAGGUGCACUUUCAGCUUUGGUGUUUGUGUUUUAAUGUCUUGAGGUUCCUGCUUGUACUUCACUGCAGGUGAUUCUUCUAUUUUCUGCUUUUCACUUGUGUUUUCUUUCAGCGAGGUUUCUGCUUUGUGUCUUGUGGCUUCUACUCUGAGAGUUACACUUCAUUCACUUGUGACGAGCUGUGUUUUCUCUUAUUUGGUUCUUGUGUGGUUCUGAAUAUUGGAGUCUCUGCUUUGGUUUUGCCUUGACUUGUUUGUGUUCCGUGCUUCAGCUGUUGUUUGCUUGGUGCUUUUGCUCUGAGUUAUGAGAGAGAUGACCACUCUCACCUGGGUUUUCUACAGAAGAGCAGGAGGAGCACCCUGGGGAGAACAACGCCUGGCCCUCAGAUCAGAGGAAGACCACGACACCCCUGGUGGCUCACUCCCCCAUGCAGCCAGCCAUUCCUCAUCUCGGGCCCGUCUGAAGCUGACAGGGGCAUCGACCUGCUGCUCCAAAUGACGGCAGAAAUGUUUCUUUAUGAUCCAGAAAAUUGCUAAAUGAUUAUUGAAGAGAACAAACGGUCCACGGUGGCUCCGGCUUGCAGUGAAACCAUGAUACUGAUGAUCUGUCCGAGCAGGUCAGUGAGCACCUGACGAGACGGUGCCACAGCUGAGUUGACCUUUCGUGACCUUGACUGGCUUUAAAA